rnacentral:lncRNA from 1 species
GAGGGGAUAUAUAAUGAGGUAGAAGGUUACAAGCAACCCUACCUUGGCAAAUCCUACUAACUCGGUAAACCCUAAAGUUGUCACUCCUUAAAUUAAGGGAGUGCAGCAAGUAGCUAGCAUACAACUAUCAACAAGUCAUCUAGAUGUCAAUCUUCCUCAAAUUAAGGGAUUAGACUUAAUAAAGAAUCCCAUGGAAAGAGAAAACAUAAAAU